AGUCGAACGGCAGCGCGGGGUAACCUGGCGGCGAGUGGCGAACGGGUGAGUAAUACAUCGGAACGUGCCCUGUGAUGGGGGAUAACUACGCGAAAGCGUAGCUAAUACCGCAUACGACCUACGGGUGAAAGUGGGGGAUCGCAAGACCUCACGUCAUAGGAGCGGCCGAUGGCGGAUUAGCUAGUUGGUGAGGUAAAGGCUUACCAAGGCAACGAUCCGUAGCUGGUCUGAGAGGACGACCAGCCACACUGGGACUGAGACACGGCCCAGACUCCUACGGGAGGCAGCAGUGGGGAAUCUUGGACAAUGGGGGCAACCCUGAUCCAGCAAUGCCGCGUGUGGGAUGAAGGCCUUCGGGUUGUAAACCACUUUUGGCGGGGGCGAAAUAUCGAGUGCUAAUACCAUUCGGUGAUGACGGUACCCGCAGAAUAAGCACCGGCUAACUACGUGCCAGCAGCCGCGGGUAAUAC
rnacentral:rRNA from 1 species